rfam:Serratia sp. Leaf50 contig_5, whole genome shotgun sequence.
CCACAAAAAAAGACCGAAUACGAUUCCUAUAUUCGGUCUAGGGAAAUGGCUCUUGGGAGAGAGCCGUGCGCUAAAAGUUGGCAUUGAUGCAGGCGGUUAAGCCUUACAACUUAAAGCGUAGCCGAGGAUGGAUGCUUUACCAGCAA